rnacentral:lncRNA from 1 species
AACGGAGAGAGUAGCAAUAACAAGAUCUCAUCUGUCAAUUUAGUCAUAUUGACAAGAAUUGUUCGUUACAACGGAAAUCACUUCCAAAGAUAUUGGUUAUUAAAAAAUUUGUACCUGUAGGCAGCAUAUGAGCAAUCUUAAAUUUAGAAAAUUCCAGCAGUGUGACAAAUAUCCUCCUUUGAAAUAAAAAUUCUACUCCUGUUA